CCAUUCGUCCCGUGACCAUUCGUACCGUGAUGUAGGCAGUGAGUUGUCAACCAUGGUAAUUACCCAGGAUACACAGUAUCUGAUACCUCAGGCUGGAUUUUAAGCGAUCCGUACACCAGCAUUCGGGUGAGUAGACAGAGACCAAAUGAAUGUUAUUUCCGAUGCCGCCGAUUCUUAGCUUUAGGAUUUGUUUUGCAAUGGUUGCAGGUUUAAUCCGAGUUUCUCUCUCUUUUUUUCUAUUUGUAUCUUCAAAAUAACGGAGGCUAUGUCCCUAAUCCUGAAAUCUUUUGGCGGAAUCCCCGUAUAUAAUGUAAACGUUCUACCGAAGCUUCAGUGUUGCGCUGGCAAUAGAAAGUGUUUACUAGACACCAAACUCCCAAAUUCGUCGUGUCAUGCAUGGACUUGUGAUGUUAAAGGCAACGUUGGCAAUGAUCCUUACAUAGUGUGGGUCAGAAAUGGUUCUUUUGGAAGUGACAAUGAUGAAACCAGAAACUGUAACCGUAUGUUCCUGUCAGUAGUUCUUUGCUACGUUUCUUCGUAGCAGCUGGCUUUCAUGUACUUCCUCUUCAGACUAUUAU